AAGUGUCAUGCCGUCAAGCCUAAUCACUGACACAUCAUUGUUACGCCAUUAAAGGUGAUGACAUGACAAUGUGUGUUAGUGAUAAGACAUGAUGAUGUGACACUCCGU
rnacentral:pre_miRNA from 1 species